rnacentral:antisense_RNA from 1 species
CACCCAGCGGGGCAGGCGCCAGGCGCCGGUCGGAAUGGAACAGGGCCGACCACGUGCCCGCCGGGGAAGCGCAGGGGCCGAAUGUCGGGGGACGUUCGGCCCCUUUUUU